AUUGAACGCUGGCGGCAGGCCUAACACAUGCAAGUCGAACGAGAAGCUACCUUCGGGUAGUGGACAGUGGCGGACGGGUGAGUAACACGUGGGAAUAUGCCUUUCAGUACGGGACAACAGUUGGAAACGACUGCUAAUACCGAAUACGCCCCCCUUGGCAACUUGGGGGGGAAAGAUUUAUCGCUGAAAGAUUAGCCCGCGUUAGAUUAGCUAGUUGGUGAGGUAAGAGCUCACCAAGGCGACGAUCUAUAGCUGGUUUGAGAGGAUGAUCAGCCACACUGGGACUGAGACACGGCCCAG
rnacentral:rRNA from 1 species